rnacentral:rRNA from 1 species
GAUCAUGGCUCAGGAUGAACGCUGGCGGCGUGCUAACACAUGCAAGUCGAACGGAGUUUUAACGGAAGUUUCGGAUGGAAGUUAGAACUAGUGGCGGACGGGUGAGUAACGCGUGGGUAACCUGCCUCAUACAGGGGGAUAACAGUUAGAAAUGACUGCUAACACCGCAUAAUAUAGCGAAACCGCAUGAUUUUGCUAUCAAAUAUUUAUAGGUAUGAGAUGGGCCCGCGCCUGAUUAGCUAGUUGGUGGGGUAAAAGCCUACCAAGGCGACGAUCAGUAGCCGGCUUGAGAGAGUGACCGGCCACAUUGGGACUGAGACACGGCCCAAACUCCUACGGGAGGCAGCAGUGGGGAAUAUUGGACAAUGGGGGAAACCCUGAUCCAGCGAACCGCCGCGUGAGUGAAGAAGUAUUUCGGUAUGUAAAGCUCUAUCAGCGGGGAAGAUAAUGACAGUACCUGACUAAGAAGCCCCGGCUAACUACGUGCCAGCAGCAGC